CUCUACAAGUGUGACAUCAGCGGUCAUGGAGAGUCUCCAUCCAGCUGGAUCACUGUCACAGUGAUAAACACAUCAACCAGUGGUGAGCAGGGAUUGGACAAGGAGGUUGAUGAUGUCACCACAGAGCAUCACAGAGCAGUUAUGAACUGAAUCAAACCCAGUGCUGUGUGUUUAUCAGCUGUUUCCACUUUGCUUUUGUUUACAUGUUUUCUGAACCAGUUCAUAAACUUUUGACUCUACAUGUAUCAUCUGUUCUCAGCAAGACUUUGUUAUGAUCCAUGACCGCGUCCCAAAUUUGUUUAAAUCUUUAGCUCCUCCCAUUGUGUCUGGUUGUGUGUGCACCGCUCUUUGCUCUUUGUUCUUGGAUGGAAUCAAUAGUUUUUGUAAAUAAAACACUUAACCAUUGUACAUUCCGAGUGUUUUGCAUAAGUUCAAGUAGGAGCAAGAAGACAGCUGUAUAUAUUUUUUUAAUUUGUUUUGAUUUAAAAUAUUUUCCCCUUCUUUUCCAUUGUUUAGGAGUAGUGGAGGGCCAAGCAAGGCUGUUUAUUCAUCUUCAGCUUAAAUCUAUAGGAAAGAACACGUCAAGUCACACAAAUGACAUUUUAGAGAUGUUUUAUGUUAUCAUGUUCUGUUGGCAUUGCUUCUGUUUUUGAAAUCAAUUCAAUUUUAAAUGCCUCUAAAAUGAUGGGGUACUGAAGUUUUUGUUUCAUUUGUGUUACUAUAGUCACCUGGGACACUGGAACACUUGGGCAAAUAUAGAUAAUUAAGUAAAGACUGUGACUGGAUAGACAAACAUGAAUGACUGACAUAUGCCAACUGUGAUUUUUGUCUUUUCUCAAUUUGUGCGAUCACAAUGAAAGUCCUCACAUAAUUUAGCUUCCAGGUGGGAACACAGCUCUUCUAAUCAAGUUUAAAGUGAAGUAACAAACACACCAAGUCUGGUUCUUUUUGAAAAUAAAAGUUAAUAAAUUAUUGAAUGCUUCUCAUUGCUAAAUUAGAGGGAGGGAAACACGACUCCCUCCAACGCUAUAAACUCACUGAGACAUCUUUCAGGAGCAGAUUCAGGAGCACACAAAAAACAUUAAACAUAUUUUUGAUCUUUGAGUUCCAAAGCCUGACUUUUACAGAGAAUCACAAGGAACAUUGGAAAGAAAAAAAAAUGACGAUGAACUAUUCCGAGAUCUCGCAAAAGGUUCAUUACAAUAUAAAUAAGGAAUAAAGAUCAUUGACACAGGCCUCAAACUCCAAAUUGUGCUGUACCAAGCAAAUUCUAAAAAACUCCACAAGAUGGCACUGCAACACCAGGAAUGAAAUUAUACCUGCUCAGGCAGGUCAGCAAUCAGUUCCUCAAACUAACCUCUGUACACCAGGAAUACGGUUCCAUAACACCUCUGCUUAACAGUCACACAAUUCAAUGUUCUUGUUUUUGUAUUCAGCUGUGAGGUCAGUUUCAACAUUUAGGCAAUCAGCUGUUUAAUCUGUUUCACA